AUACGAAGGGGGCAAGCGUUGUUCGGAAUAACUGGGCGUAAAGCGCACGUAGGCGGAAUGUUAAGUUAGAGGUGAAAUCCCAGGGCUCAACCCUGGAACUGCCUUUAAUACUGGCAAUCUAGAGACCGAGAGAGGUGAGUGGAAUUCCGAGUGUAGAGGUGAAAUUCGUAGAUAUUCGGAGGAACACCAGUGGCGAAGGCGGCUCACUGGCUCGGUACUGACGCUGAGGUGCGAAAGCGUGGGGAGCAAACAGGAUUAGAUACCCCAGUAGUCC
rnacentral:rRNA from 1 species